GAUGAACGCUAGCUACAGGCUUAACACAUGCAAGUCGAGGGGUAACAAGAGAAAAGCUUGCUUUUCUUGUUGACGACCGGCGCACGGGUGAGUAACGCGUAUCCAACCUACCUAUAACUAGGGAAUAACCUUGCGAAAGUAAGACUAAUACCCUAUGAUUUCCUUUGAUGACAUCAGAUUAGGAAUAAAGAUUUAUCGGUUAUAGAUGGGGAUGCGUCUGAUUAGCUUGUUGGCGGGGUAACGGCCCACCAAGGCAACGAUCAGUAGGGGUUCUGAGAGGAAGGUCCCCCACAUUGGAACUGAGACACGGUCCAAACUCCUACGGGAGGCAGCAGUGAGGAAUAUUGGUCAAUGGGCGGAAGCCUGAACCAGCCAAGUAGCGUGCAGGAUGACGGCCCUAUGGGUUGUAAACUGCUUUUAUACAGGAAUAAAGUUAGCCACGUGUGGUUAUUUGUAGGUACUGUAUGAAUAAGGACCGGCUAAUUCCGUGCCAGCCGCCGCUGUAACAC
rnacentral:rRNA from 1 species